UGAAUCAUCCUCGCAGCAGGUUUCCGCGCUUGGCGGACCAAGAGGGAAGUGCCGUGAAAGUCGGCCGCGAAGCCGUCGCUGUGAUCGGGAACGAACGCCGAGAAUACCACUGGGCCCACGCACAGGGACUGGGAAGGCUCGGUUAGUAGGGCGACCCGUAAGCCAGAAGACCUGCCUGUUGUGAGCUCCGUCA
rnacentral:ncRNA from 2 species